rnacentral:misc_RNA from 1 species
CCAGCCAUUAUCAAACAAGGCUCGCACCUCGGCGUGGUGGCUGAGGACAUCACUAAUCGCUUGGCGAGGCGCCUCAAUGCAGACCGACAGACGUAGCGGUUCAUGCGAGUAGGAUUUGCCGUCAUGAACUGAUUGCCAAGGAAGGCCGGCCCUGAGCAGGCCCCCGUUGCCCUCCACGACACCAAUACCACCUGUGACAUUGUGAAGGAGCUUAUUCCCACUUCCGAACACAUCGGGUGCAACCGUCGAUCCGUAAUACUGCAGGCUGAUCCAACUUGCCACGACGACCGGCGCCGUCAGGAUCA